rnacentral:tRNA from 1 species
GCGAAAGUGGCGGAAUUGGUAGACGCGCUGGACUUAGGAUCCAGUGGGGCGACCCAUGAGGGUUCGAGUCCCUCCUUUCGCA